GUGCGCGCAGCCGCGGCGCGUCCGGCCCCCGCCACCAGCUCCGCGGACCUGCGCCGGCUUCUAAGUAUUUCUUGCUGUCACCAGACCCUCGGCAGCCGGCGGAAUGCAAAGGAAAAGUAAAUGAACUGUAAAGAAAUAACACAGACCUUUCCGCAUUCUGCCGCCUAAAACCGCCUCUCGAUCCCCGAGCGUUGUCUCGGGGUCACCGCCGGGCCCGUUUCUGAAGUUCCCACAGAAGUCUGAGAUGGUGGCCAGUAAUUUCUCCUUGAAGCCUAACGCACCUUACCCAGUGACUAGAGAUAACUGUUGUGAACAGUUUAGUGUUGAAUCAAAGGACCUAGUGCUUCUUUCUUGAACAUGACAGAAAAAAAAAAAAAAUUCCAAAGAACAUGGCCCAAAGGAAAACAGACCACAAAAUUUAAGGAGUCUCGGCUUGCUGGGUUAUGAGAUCCUUCUUUGGGGCGGCCCACUUACGCCUUGGCCUUGACUUCUGCUAUCUGCGUUGGAAGAAAAGCCUAAGACAGGUAAUAUGUGCUUGUCACAUGGAAUCUAGGACUCAGUGGCAGUCGCCAGGCAAGUGACCGUUCCAUCCGCUGGAUAAGGCGUUAACAGGCUCUACUUAGGCGCCACACGUGUCCGUCCGGUUGCUGUCACAGUUAAGCCUCAGCCACCACUAACGUCUUUAGGUUAAAUUAACUUACCACAUCAUUAGUAUGCAGAGCCUUGGGGAACAGAACAGGCAUGUGUUAAGGAGGAGAAAUGGGUUGGUGAAUCAGUGCCUGGGCUGGGACAUUGCAAUAGGGGCUCUGGGCAGCUGACGCUCCGGAGGGAAUUUGAAAGGGAAAGAAGGGGCCAGGCCCGAAGGGUGGGCUACGUUCAGGGCAUAUACUUUACACACUUCAUGAUUUUUGUCUUGGGCAGACAGUAAUCGUUAUAGUAUGAAGUUAGACUUGGGCUGAUUUUGAUUAAUUUCUAUCAGCACAGACUUGUCCAAGGGCUCUACCUCUUUACGUCCUGCUCCAGAACCUUGGCCUUGGAGGAAUUUAAACAGGCCUUGAAGGCUGAGUAAGGAGUAGCCACACUGCCGUCAGGCCCCCUAAUAUCCAUCGUCCCGCGCAUGGCCCAUCUUAGAAGGCUGCUUGGCCCGGCCUCCCUCGUCCAAUGUGGCCAUGUGACUAGAUUCUGCUCCGGGGUGAUGAGUGGGAGUGGUGUGGGCAGUUUCUCCGUAGUGUCUUCUGUUCUAGGCCGGCUUCCCCGGAAGUAGAUGCUGACAACAAGAGUCCAGCACAAGCUGUUUACUUGAGAAGGUGAUUCUAGGAAGCAUAAGGAGGGGAGUAGGGGAAGUGUGUCGGUCUGGAUUUUCUAAGUAGGUGCCAAGUGGAAUUACACGUACGAGGGUUUUAUUAAGGGAAACACGUACGGGAGGGACAGCGGGGUGGGAGCCAGAUGAGGCCAGAAGGGCUGGCGGACCAGCCGGCAAAGGUGAGUCUGGCCCGAAGUGAAGGAGAGGAGGAAGGCCUUACACUGCCUGCCAGGCUGAGGAGAGGUAGCAAAGCCAGCAUCAGGGGGCCCCAGUUCCCCUGGGAACGACCUGCGUUGGGGUCCUUGUGACAGUCAGCGACUGGAGCAGUCCGCGGGAAGAAGGCCUUGCGCGGGCACAGCCGGGGGCCUCGUGGCACGGCGGCCAGCCUUGGUAACUGUACCCUUCGGGUUGGAGGCCAGUCCUUGGUGCACCCUCCCGCCACUGCGGGAAGUGGGGCAGGGAGGGAAGGGACGUUAAGAG